CAGCUCGGCCACCCGCGAGUGUCCGUGCCAGGCGGCCUCGUGCAGCGCGGUGCGCCCCGCCCGGUCCACCGCGCCCACCGGGGCCCCUCGCUGCAGCAGGAGACGCACCAGGGGCGCGUGGCCCCGCAGCACGGCCAGGAAAGCUCCGUAAGGCUGACCGGGAAAGAAGCGAGGAGCUCUGGGGGCUGGGUGGAAAGUCCCGUACUCAUCAGGGCCAGGGAGGCCACAGAAACUACCUCACGCCAGCUUCCCAGGGGUACAGCGGCUAGAAUGGACCUCGAGGAGGCCCCUCCCAAGACUCCCGUCUCCCGGGUUCCACCGCAGUGGGGGCAGCCACAGCUGCCUCUGCAAUGCUUGUAGGACCCACACACAGUGGGGCACGGAGGGGCAGAGGCCGCAGCCCCUUUGCCAUGAAUCCAAAGAACCUGGAGUGAUUCUGCAGAGACGUUCGAACCAGAGCGACUCCAUCUUGAACAGGGGCUGGGUAAAAUGAGGCCGAGACCGGCUGGGCCGCAUUCCCUGGAGGUCAGGCAUUCUUAGUCACAGGAUGAGAUCAGCACAAGAUACAGAUCACAAAGACCCCGCUGAUAAAACAGGAUGCCGUGAAGAAGCCGGCCCCAAACCACCAAAACCAAGACAGCCAGUCCUCACUGCUCAUUAUGUGCUGAUUAUAAUACAUUAGCAUGAGACACGCCCACCAGCACCAGGACCAUUUACAGUUGCCAUGGCAAUGCCGGGAAGUUACCCUAGAUGGUCUAAAAGGGGGAAGAACCCUCACUUCCGGGAAUUGCCUGCCCCUUUCCCGGAAAAGUCCGGAAUAAUCCACACCAUGUUUAGUACAUAUCAAGAAACAACAAUAAGUGUUCUCGUCGGAGUAGCCCAGGCCGCUGCUCAGCCUAUGGGGCAGCCCUUCUCUUAUUCCUUUACUUUCCUAUUAAACUUGCUUUCAGUUU
rnacentral:lncRNA from 1 species